AACGUAGGAGACAAACGUUAUCCGGAGUUACUGGGCGUAAAGGGCGUGUAGGCGGUUAGUUAAGUCUGGCGUGAAAGCUCUCGGCUAAACCGGGAGAGGUCGUUGGAUACUGGCUGACUAGAGGACGGUAGAGGCGUGUGGAAUUCCGGGUGUAGUGGUGAAAUGCGUAGAGAUCCGGAGGGACACCAGUGGCGAAGGCGACACGCUGGGCCGUACCUGACGCUAAAGCGCGACAGCAUGGGGAGCAAACGGG
rnacentral:rRNA from 1 species